rnacentral:rRNA from 1 species
UAGUCAUACGCUUGUCUCAAAGAUUAAGCCAUGCAUGUCUAAGUAUAAAUCUUUAUACGGUGAAACUGCGAAUGGCUCAUUAUAUCAGUUAUAGUUUAUUUGAUAGUCCCCUACUACUUGGAUAACCGUAGUAAUUUUAGAGCUAAUACAUGCGUCAAGGCCCAACUGCUUUGGCGGGCGGGCUGUAUUUAUUAGAGUUGAACCAACCGCCUUCGGGUGUUUUUUGGUGAAUCAUGAUAACUUUGCGAAUCGUAUGCUUUGGCGACGAUGAAUCAUUCAAGUUUUUGCCCUAUCAAGUGGCGAUGGUAGGGUAUUGGCCUACCAUGCUAGUGACGGGUGACGGAGAAUUAGGGUUUGAUUCCGGAGAGGGAGCCUGAGAGACGGCUACCACAUUUAAGGAAGGCAGCAGGCGCGUAAAUUAACCAAUCCUGACCCGGGGAGGUAGUGACAAUAAAUAACAAUACGGGGCUUUUCAAGUUUUGUAAUUGGAAUUUAAAGGGUUUAAAUCCCU